AUCAUAUUGAAACACUGGUUCCAGUAGGAUCACUGAAGUUAAGCAACAUCAAGCCUGGUCAGUACCUAGAUGGGUGACUGCUUGGGAAUACUAGGUGCUAUA